UAGCUAGUUGGGGAGGUAAUGGCUUCCCAAGGCCACGAUCAGUAGCUGGUCUGAGAGGACGAUCAGCCACACUGGGACUGAGACACGGCCCAGACUCCUACGGGAGGCAGCAGUGAGGAAUUUUCCACAAUGGGCGAAAGCCUGAUGGAGCAAUCCCGCGUGGAGGAAGAAGGCUCGCGGGUCGUAAACUCCUUUUCUCAGAGAAGAAAUUUUGACGGUAUCUGAGGAAUAAGCUCCGGCUAACCAUGUGCCAGCAGCCGCGGUAAUACAUGGGGAGCAAGCGUUAUCCGGAAUGAUUGGGCGUAAAGCGUCUGUAGGUGGUUUAAAAAGUCUACUGUCAAAUACGUUGGCUCAACCAACGGCAGGCAGUGGAGUACUAUUAGACUAGAGUUAGGUAGAGGUAGAGGGAAUCCCUAGCGUAACAGUGAAAUGUGUAGAUUUUAGGGGGAACACCAGCGGCGAAGGCGCUCUACUGGGCCGGUACUGACACUGAGAGACGAAAGCUAAAGGAGAGAAAAGGAUUAGAUACCCUUGUAUUUUUAGCUGUAAACGAUGGAAACUAAGUGGGGGGGGGCUGCUGCCCCACGGGAGCGAAAGCAAAUCCAGUAACUUGAAAGAGUUGUUAGAUUAGUGCAGCUACUCCCCUGCUGUAGCUAACGCAUUAAGUUUCCCGCCUGGGGAGUAUGCUCGCAAGAGUGAAACUCAAAGGAAUUGACGGGUUUUAGCACAAACGGAGGAUUAUGGGGAUUAAUUCGACGAUACGCGAAGAACCUUACCAGGGUUUGACAUGUGCAGAAUUUUUCAGAAAUGGAAAAGUGCCACACUCAUUUUAGGAGUGUGGAACUGCAACACAGGUGGUGCAUGGCUGUCGUCAGCUCGUGCGUUGACGUGUAUGGUUAAGUCCUGCAACGAGCGCAACCCUCGUCCUUAGUUACCUUUUAGGACCUCUAAGGAGACUGCGCGCGCAAGCGCUGAGGAAGGUGAGGAUGAUGUCAAGUCAGCAUGCCCCUUACACCCUGGGCGUCACCCGUAAUACAAUGGUUGAGACAAUCAGAAGCUAACCCGCGAGGGCAUGCAAAUCUGUUAAACUCAGCCUCAGUUCGGAUUGUAGGCUGCAACUCGCCUACAUGAAGCCGGAUUCGUUAGUAAUCGCCGAUCAGCCACGCGGCGGUGAAUACGUUCCCUAAAAUUGUACACACCGCCCGUCACAUCAAGAGAGUAUACGAAGGUUUAAGUCAUUAGUUUAACCUUCUAGGAAAACGGUGCCCAAACCUCAGUAAACAAUCAUGAUGAAGUCGUAACAAGGUUUCGGUACUGGAAGGUGCCGAAG
rnacentral:rRNA from 1 species